rnacentral:rRNA from 1 species
GGCGGGACACGUGAUAUCCUGUCUGAAUAUGGGGGGACCAUCCUCCAAGGCUAAAUACUACUGACUGACCGAUAGUGAACCAGUACCGUGAGGGAAAGGCGAAAAGAACCCCUGUGAGGGGAGUGAAAUAGAACCUGAAACCGUGUACGUACAAGCAGUAGGAGCAGGCUUUGUCCUGUGACUGCGUACCUUUUGUAUAAUGGGUCAGCGACUUAUAUUCAGUGGCAAGGUUAACCAUCUAGGGGAGCCGUAGGGAAACCGAGUCUUAACUGGGCGUUCAGUCUCUGGAUAUAGACCCGAAACCAGGUGAUCUAGCCAUGGGCAGGUUGAAGGUUGAGUAACAUCAACUGGAGGACCGAACCGACUAAUGUUGAAAAAUUAGCGGAUGACUUGUGGCUAGGGGUGAAAGGCCAAUCAAACCUGGAGAUAGCUGGUUCUCCCCGAAAGCUAUUUAGGUAGCGCCUCGGACGAAUACUACUGGGGGUAGAGCACUGUUAAGGCUAGGGGGUCAUCCCGACUUACCAACCCUUUGCAAACUCCGAAUACCAGUAAGUACUAUCCGGGAGACACACGGCGGGUGCUAACGUCCGUCGUGGAGAGGGAAACAACCCAGACCGCCAGCUAAGGUCCCAAAUUACUACUAAGUGGGAAACGAUGUGGGAAGGCUCAGACAGCCAGGAUGUUGGCUUAGAAGCAGCCAUCAUUUAAAGAAAGCGUAAUAGCUCACUGGUCGAGUCGGCCUGCGCGGAAGAUGUAACGGGGCUAAGUAGUAAACCGAAGCUGCGGCAAUAUACUUUUGUAUAUUGGGUAGGGGAGCGUUCUGUAAGCGGUUGAAGGUGUGUGGUAACGCAUGCUGGACGUAUCAGAAGUGCGAAUGCUGACAUGAGUAACGAUAAAGGGGGUGAAAAACCUCCUCGCCGGAAGACCAAGGGUUCCUGUCCAACGUUAAUCGGGGCAGGGUAAGUCGACCCCUAAGGCGAGGCCGAAAGGCGUAGUCGAUGGGAAACGGGUUAAUAUUCCCGUACUUCUUACAAUUGCGAUGGGGGGACGGAGAAGGCUAGGUGGGCCUGGCGACGGUUGUCCAGGUUCAAGUGCGUAGGCUUAAGAGUUAGGUAAAUCCGGCUCUUUUUAAGGCUGAGACACGACGUCGAGCACCUACGGGUGUGAAGUCAUUGAUGCCAUGCUUCCAGGAAAAGCCUCUAAGCUUCAGAUUGUAAGGAAUCGUACCCCAAACCGACACAGGUGGUCGGGUAGAGAAUACCAAGGCGCUUGAGAGAACUCGGGUGAAGGAACUAGGCAAAAUGGUACCGUAACUUCGGGAGAAGGUACGCUCUCGACGGUGAAGUCCCUUGCGGAUGGAGCUAUUGAGAGUCGCAGAUACCAGGUGGCUGCAACUGUUUAUUAAAAACACAGCACUGUGCAAAAUCGUAAGAUGACGUAUACGGUGUGACGCCUGCCCGGUGCCGGAAGGUUAAUUGAUGGGGUUAGACUUCGGUCGAAGCUCUUGAUCGAAGCCCCGGUAAACGGCGGCCGUAACUAUAACGGUCCUAAGGUAGCGAAAUUCCUUGUCGGGUAAGUUCCGACCUGCACGAAUGGCGUAAUGAUGGCCACGCUGUCUCCACCCGAGACUCAGUGAAAUUGAAAUCGCUGUGAAGAUGCAGUGUACCCGCGGCUAGACGGAAAGACCCCGUGAACCUUUACUACAGCUUGGCACUGAACAUUGACCCUACAUGUGUAGGA